ACCUCCCUGCUGUACCCGACAGCCCUGCCCUUUAUACUCCAACAACUGUACUUUGGGAGCUUCGUUUUCACGCGCGGAGUGCAGACCUCCCCUGUAAAGGGACGAAGGGAGCUGGAAACGCGUAAGCGGGCGUACCCACCUUGUCGUAUGACGGGGGUUUACAGCUGGCAGGGCAUCGAUAUGGCGGGGGUUU
rfam:Anaerotruncus colihominis DSM 17241 Scfld_02_6 genomic scaffold, whole genome shotgun sequence.